AUGGAUAUGCAUCGUGUGCUCGGGAGGCACGUCGCCGUCGACAAGAAAUCUGUAUGGGAAAGCGACCUGUUGACUGUACUCAGGGUUGGUUUACACUUAGGUGUAUAUUCGUUUACUUCCUCCAAUGGUGUACCAUCACUUCCAAUUUCUGAUUCUCAUUUUGGCCAAUUGAAUGACAGUGAUGGUGUUGAGAUUGGUGUCCAGGUGGUUGAGACAGUUGGUUGUGAGUUUGUUGACACUUCUGUUGAUGUGCCAUCUGAAAAUUCAACUCUUCAUGACCAUCAGUUUGGCGAUGAGUUGAUAGUUGUUCCUCCACGUGUUGUCCCAUUGUUGAGCAUGGGUCCUCAUGACAGGCCAAUCCCUUUAGUUCGACUGAUGCAGCCACCUUUUCCUAAGGAGUAUAUUCGUUUACUUAAACUUGUUUCACGGGGGAGGUCUUAUUAUGGCGCACCAGGUUUUACCUGUCGGAAAUGUGGGGCAUUUUAUUGGUUUCAUGAAGGGUCCACACGUCAUAAGGAUGCUAAUCCCCUACAACCUAUUUAUACCGGUUGUUGCCUUGAUGGCAAGAUUUCUUUGCCAAAGUUUGCUGAUUGGCCCUGCCCGUUGAAGGAUUUACUUCGUUUCAAUGGUGGCCCUGUUUGUGCCUGUUUCAUGCGCUUGAUUAGAGAUUAUAAUUCUAUGUUUUGUUUCACAUCUCUUGGUGCUCAAAUUGAUCACAAUGUUAACGCUGGGGGUAGUCCAUACAUAUUUAAAAUGAACGGGGUCGUUUAUCACAUAAUUGGUCCUCUUCUUCCUUCUGAAGAUGAAAACCCUAAGUUUGCACAACUAUAUAUUGUUGAUUCAGCUGAUGAAGUCAAAAGUAGAAUUAAUGUGUUUGAUCGUGAAGGCGAUAGUUCUCUUGAGCCUGAUCCAGAAAUAGUAGCCAGCCUCAUCGAUAUGUUGAAUAGGCAUCAUCAUUUGGUACACAAAUAUAGAAUUGCUCGCCAAAAUUUUUCUUCUCCUGAUGGGCCAAAGGUUUCUAUCCGCUUCUUAGGAAAUGAUGGCAGGCCCCAUGACACGCGUUUUUAUGGUCCAAUGGCUUGUGAGGUGGCUGUUGUGAUUGUUGGUGAUCUUACUCCUGAUCGCAAGAAAUGUGAUGUGGUUGUAGAGACACAUGCUGGUAUGUUGGAGCACGUAUAUUCUCCCAAUUCUAACCUUAUGGCUCUACAAUACCCCUCGGUUUUUCCAUAUGGGGAUAAAAGUUACCAUUUGGGUAUUAAAUAUGUCUACAAUGAUGAUGAUUUUUCCAGUCUGAAUGCACGUGGUGUUCUGUUUGAGGAGACACCUGAUACUGGUGCUAUUGUGCCUCGGCGUUCUAAAGUGCCACAGAGCCAAGUUUGUAUGUUGGAGUAUUAUGGUUACUAUUUUCAUUACCGUGAGGGGGAACCAAAUCCUUACACCAGUUGUGGGCGACUUAGUCAACAGGUGGCUGUCAAUGCUUAUUCUUGUGUUGAGUCAGACCGUUUGGAGUACCAUUUUUGGAAUCAGGAUAAUUUACGAUCCGAGACUUACCAGGGAAUAUCUGAUGCAAUUGGAGAAGGUAGUUCUACUGGAAAGAAUGUUGGUGUGCAAUUUAUAAUACAUGGAAGUUUCACUGGUGGGCGUCGGUAUAUGGUUUUGAAUUAUCAUGAUGGAAUGGCUAUUUGUCAUGAAUAUGGUGCUCCAGAUUUAUUCAUCACUUUCACAUGUAAUCCAAAGUGGCAAGAAAUUAUUGAUGCUCUUGCUUCCGAGCCUGGAUAG
rnacentral:rRNA from 1 species